rnacentral:lncRNA from 1 species
UUUUUUUUUUUUUUUGUGAAUUGCAAAAGGGGGUAAAGCCCUAACAGUAACGUGAUUAGCACAACUCAAACUCAGGUUACACUUGAGGCAGUGAACAUCCUUACCAUCAGGCUAACACACAAGGUUUAACUUUAAGAUCAUGUUUAAUUUUUAGUAUGUGUGGAUUUGAUAUUUGUAAUUAAAUCUACCUUGUGUUAAUCUUUUAAAUGGUUAAUUCUAUCUUAAAUAUUUCGUUUUUUUGAAUUUUUAAGAAUAUAAAAUUAAAAACUAAAAAAAAAGCUUACCUGUGUGGCUCACACGGCCAGGAGACACGCCCAUGUUUUAGGCCGUGUGGGCAUUCGAUGUGAGGCACACGGUCGUGUCCUUACUCGCGUAACUCUUUGACUUGGGUCACACGACCAACCACACGCCCGUGUGUUAGGCCAUGUGAAGGGUGCAGGGGUCACACGGCCAAGUCACACGCCCUUGUGCUAGGCUGUGUGCAAAUACCUGGGCAUUCUGUUUUGAAAUUUCAAGGUGCAAGGGACACAUGGCCAGAUUACAUGCUCAUGUGACACACGGCUAAGACACACACCCGUGUCUCUGCCCAUGUGGACGAAAAUAGACCAUUUUAAGGCCACUUUUCUCACCCUUUUUGACAUCAACCUACAUACAACAUUUAAAUACACUAAUAUAUCCCAACCAAGCAAUCAAAACCAACCAAUACAUGUUCUAAACAUAAUAUAACAUUACAUAUACAUCAAUUACUUAUACUUACCCAUUUAACUCAUUUCAUUGAUUUAUCAGAUUCUACUACUAAUUACGCACAUACAAACAUUUAAGAUUCACAACCACAAUUCAAACGAUUUCAUUGCCAAACCAACCAUAUACAUGUCAUAUAAACCAAAAUUUAUAUUUCAAAAACUACCGGAUUAAAUUGGACAGUGUGGCUUGAUAUGUUGAUUCGAUCUUCCGAUCACACGUUAAUCUACAAGAACAUAAACAACACGAGUAAGUUUAAUGAAGCUUAGUAAGUUCAAUAGAUUAAACAUUGAUCUUACUGAACUCAAUAUAUUCAACUAAAUUGUAAAUAAAUCAUACAUUCUCCCUCUCAAAUACAACAUAAGUCAAUGAACACAUUUCCUUUAGAUCAAUAUCAUUAAUAAUCAAUAUAUCUUUCAAUUCAUUCACAUAGGUCUUUUACCAAUUCUUAUUGAAUCGAGGAACGACUUAUGGAUAUGAGUACUCGUUUUCUUUAUGCCAUAGUCCAACUAUGGUCUUACACAUGCAUUGCCAUGGCCCAGCCAUGGUCUUACAUUCGUAGUGCCAUAACCCAGUUAUGGUCUUAUCAUCAGAAUGCCAUAGCCCAGCUAUGGUCUUACUUAUAAAUACUGCCAUGGUCCAACCAUGGUCUUACGUUCAAAGUGCCAUAACCCAGAUAUGGUAUUUUCAUUAAAAUGCCAUAGCCCAACUAUGGUUUUACAUAUAAACAUUGCCAUGGUCCAACCAUGGUCUUAUCCGUCAAUUCAUCCUUUACUAUAAAAUGAUUGUACACUAUCCUGCGUUUUACUUGUUUUAAGCAUUCAUUUCAAUUUCAUAAUUUAACAAUAAAUUUUAGUUUCAAUAAUAAGAAUAUGAAUAAAUAAAUUAUAUCAUUCAUAAAUUAAUAAAUAAUCAUGAAAGUUUAACCAUACGAACUUACCUGGGUUAAAUUGUGGAAUUUGUAGUGGUUCAAAGAUUAUUCGGCUAUUUUUCCUUUUUCGUGUUGGUCUAAGGGCUCUUGAUAUGUAGCAAAAUAUGAAAACCAGCUUCUUAAGGGUUCUUCAAUGGUGUUUUUGGAUGAGAAUUAUGAAGAAAUUUUCUAGAAUUCUCUUAUUAUUUCAAUUUGUAAGCUAAAUUUUUUAUUUUUCUAAUUUUGCCCUUAUUUCACCUGAUUUUUUGAUUUUUCUCUGCCUAUGCCGCCCAAGCCAUCAUCUUUGGGCUAAUUUGCCUUUUAUGUCCUCCCUCAUUUAACACUUGAGCUAUUUAAUCAUUUUAGCAAGUUUUGCACAUUUUUCAAUUUAGUCUUUUUUAAUUAAUUAACUAUCAAAAUGUUAAAAUUUUCUAACGAAAUAUUAAUACUAACUUAAUGACACUCUGUAAAUAUUUAUAAAAAUAUUUACGGCUCGGUUUAUAAAAUUGAGGUCUCGAUACCUCAUUUUUAAACCAUUCUACCUAAUAAAUUAUUCUAAAAUACAAAUCACCAAUUCAAAAAUCUUUCUAAAAUCACACUUGACUCGUAAAUAAUAAAUAACAAAAUUUUCAAACUCACUCGUCGGAUUUAGUGGUCUCGAACCACUAUUUCUGACACCACUGAAAAUUGGGCUGUUACAUCUACCACCUGUUUUGCUUGCAUUAUUUUCCUGAAACUAAACAACAUUGGCCUAUAAAGGAAUGCUCGCCACAAACUCCACCUGUCGUGUCUCACAAUCUAACAACAUCUCAAUAAGCACAUCCAGAGAAACAUUCAUAUCUGAAGCCACCAUGCGAACUUACUCAUACUCCACUGGUAAUCUUGCCAAAAUAAAGUUGACUUAUUCGGGAUCAGGUACCAAUCUAACAACUGCAGUGAGAACAUCACAUAUGUUCCUUAUCUUAGUCAAAUAUUCUUUAAUGGACAACUGUCCCUUUUUUUCUGAGAAUAAAGACUAUGUCUCAGACUAGAAAUCUUCAUGCUUGACUUAGCAACAAACCGUCUUUCAACUGCGAGCCAGACAUCUAGACUCGUGCGAGCAUUAGUAAGAUAAACAAGGAUCUCAUCACACACAGUAGACAAAAGCCGAGAUGCUAAGAGUUUGUCUUGUUGAUUAUGUUUCAAGAACACAGUAUUUUCCACCAAUUGACCAUUGUUGUCAUCAAGAAACUAAGAUGGAACACUGAUAGUGCCUAAAACAAAAUCUUGCAAAUUACAGCCUUUAAGAAUCAAAAUAAUUUGAUGUUUUUACAAAAGAAAUUUUGUUUCAUUGAGCUUAAUAGUAUUAUGCUUAGGAAAUUGAGGAACACGUUUACUCACUAUGCAAGAAUUGCACCCAGGAUCCAAAUGACAAAAAGAUACCUGUGUAGCACCAUUAUCAUCAUUAGCAGAUUGUUAUUGACUACCGCCAUCUCCUGAGAUUAUUUUUAGAGCCAUGACUCACCAACGAAACUUCAACGACUUUCCGCACACUACCAUCAACAAGAAACCGUAGCUCUUGAUACCAUGUUGAAACAUUAAUAGAUAGAGAAAGAACACAUGAACCUUGUACAGCCCAAAUUUACCCGGGUCUCACCAAAUAACAAGCCGAAAAAUUUAAAACCUACCCAAGCCCAAUUACAAAACCCAUUACCCAAAACACAAAUCAGAAAAAAAGAAACCCUAACCCUAGGUGCACCGCACCUAGGGCCUUCUGACAUUGCCGCUGCAACUGCCACCACCGACUCACCCCACUUGCGCCGCGCACGUCCCAUCGUCCUCACCUGCUCCAUCUUCAAACACGCAAGCAAAGAAGGACAAAACAACAGUAGAAACAAUAGAAAAAUCGUAAAAUGGCUAUUUAAAAGCCAUUCAAACAGAUCUAAGGGGGGAUGCUCUUCUUUUUCUUUUUGUAACAUUUUCAAGGAAAUAAAAGUAAAAAAUCAAAGGUGACCCUUUUUUUUUUUUUGCAUCUCUUAUCAUUUCGUAUCUGUUCAUUAUAUUUUUAUACAUAUAUAUAUUUUAUAAAAAUAUAGUUUAUACUUGCGAAAAAUACAAAAAAUAAUAUUUUUUUACCUUCUUGAUUUUUCCGGCCACCGCGUGCGGUGACCGGCGUGGCGCCAGUGCGGUGGGCUGACGAUCGGCGCGACAGGGGUCUUAGAACCCCAUAGGCCGGAUGUUGGAGAGAAAUAAAAUGGAUUUUUUGUUUUUUUUAGAAAAACUGUGGCUGAAAUGAUUUUUGAAGAAAAAAAGGGUUUAAAUACCCUGAACAAAAUGGCGCUGCUUAAGGCUCCUCUGACCGUCGGCCCGACCCGACCCGGAGGAUCCGCGUGUUUUUAAAUUUUGGGCUAUUUGCGCGCGCAGUCCCUCCUAUUUUGCGGCGUGUUGCAAUUUGGCCCUUUUUCAUUAUUUUCUUUUAUUUUUAAUUUACCCCCAUAAUUUUAUUUUUGCUUCAAUUUGGUCCAUUUCGACGCUGCGUUUUAAGGCCUGGAUAAGUUUACUGUUUUGGUCCCUCCCUUUUUGCGCGUGUCGCAAUUUGAUCCUUGUCGUCUUUUUAUUUUCGAAUCAGCCCUGUAUUUUUUUAUUUUAUUUCGAUUUAGUUAAUAUUUUUAGCAUUUUUAUUAUUUAACCUUAUUAUUGUUAUUAUUAUUACUAUUAUUAAUUAUUAUUAGUUUUGUUUUCCUUUUUCUUUAUUUGUUACUAUUAUAUUAAUAUAUUAAUUAGUUUAAUAUUAUUUUCAGCUUUAUUUUUAUUCUAUAUAUAUACAUAUAUGCAUUAUGCAUGUCCAUAUUUUAUAAUAACUUAUUUUUACAUACACACAAACGCAUUCUUUUAUAUUUUAUAAUUUAUAUAUAUGUCUAUAUAUAUCUAUAUACCUUUUUAUUAUUUUCCUAUAUACAUAUAGGUACAUACAUGUAUCUUUUAUAUUUAUAAUUUCCAAAAUAUGUAUAUAUACACAUAUAUUUUAAAAUGCAUACAUGCUCGUACAUACACACUUUUUAUAAUGUACAUACUUAUAUUUUAUAUAUCUUUGUAUUUUAUAACCUAUAUAUAUAUAUGUAAAUACUUAUAUUUUUAUAUAUUAUAAUUCAUGUGUAUAUCUUUUAUUUAUUUUCUUCAUUUAUUUAUUUAUUUACAUGUCCGUUAUUAUUAUUUGUUAUGCUUUAUAUUUGUUUAUUAUUGUACAUACGUGAUUGAUUUUAUUUAUAUAUAUAUAUGUGACUUCUUAUUUACUUAUAUUUUGUUUGCCUCGUGAUUAUUUUGCUUACACCAUCAUCAUUCCAUUACGCCCAUUUUUAUUUAGAUUUCAAAAAAGAAAUUUUAAAAAAUAAAUAAGUAAUAAUCGAUAUUUGGGAUCUUCAAAAGAAUCGAGCCCUAACGUAUUGGGUUCCGAUUUUCUUCGUUGAAUCCAAAUAAUCGAGAUUACUCUUUUAAAAAAAGCUCACAAUCGGGAAUUCGAUACGUUGUGUCCUAACGCAUUGGAUAUGACAUGUCGUUUUCUCGAGAUGAGGAUUUUUCUAAAAAAUAAUAAGGCAAUAUUUAGCGUUUGGAAAUUCGAGGAAACGUGCCCUAAUGUGCUGGGUUUCGAUUUUUCUCGUUCAACCAAAUAGCUAAAUAUCCUUUCAAAAAUUUCAAAAUAAGGCAAUGUUUCGCGUUUGGUAAUUCGAGGAACGUGCCCUAAUGUGCUGGGUUUCAAUUUCUCGUUUAACCAAAUAGCCAAAUAUCCUCUUGAAUUUUAAUCCAUGUUAUUCGAAUUUUUUAAGGAUCGUAUUUUAAAUUUCUUUAAAGUUUUCAAUUUUCGGCAUUAAGACAUUAACUAAUCAACUUGGUACCAAUUUUUUGGGCGUUACGAGGGUGCUAAUCCUUCCUUGUACGUAACUAACUCCCGAACCCAUUUUUCUGAAUUUCGUGGACCAAAACCGUUUUUUAAUAAAAUCAAAUCGUUUAUUAAAAACAACCACUUUUCGAGGUGAUCCAAUCACACCUCAUUAAAAAGGAUUGGUGGCGACUCCCGUUUUCAUUUUUCAAAAUCCAAAUCGACUCCGUUUUCAUCAAAAAAUGGUGUCAACAAACCUCAAAGAAUCAAAGAAGAGAGAAUAUCAAAGAGAAGAAAGAAAGAAUGAUUUCUUCACUAAGUUCAACAUGAAGAACCUACAACCAUAGUAUUUAUACUAAGUUUUAACAAAGAAGAUGAAUAACAACCUGAACCAACUAACUCAAUAACUUAUUAACAACCUAAUUGUUGCAGCAGUUCCUUAACAUUCAUCGAACCUCCUGGCUGCUGCUAUUGAAGCUUGCGAACAGCUCAACUGUGAACACCUAGACUGCUGCAAAUCAAUCCUUAACACAUUAAAAUAUUUAAAAGUUUCACUUAACCAUAAAUUAAAAUUAAGUAAUAAAAUUCAAUAAAAUUUAAUGUUUAGGAAAACCGAAUCCUAUAAAACUAAAAUGAAAAAGUUACUUUAUACCAAAAAAAUAUGGAAAUGUUUUGUUUAUUGAAUAAAAAAAAACAAAUAUUAAACAAAAUAAAAUAUAAUUAUGAAUUUGGGUAUCCGAUAGAAAAUAAUUCACCUUAUCAUCCUUUAAAACUUUAAAAAUAAACAAAAUAAAACAAAAGAGACUGUCUAUUAUUUAUUCAUUUCUUUCUUCUCUUUUGAUUCAUUAGCUGAGUUAAUAUUCAGUUAUUUGGUUUUAGGUCUUAAAAAAUAUGACACAAAAUCUCGAUGACUUUGACGAUGUCGAGUUUAAAAUUCUUUUAACCAACUUCUAAAAAUAGACAAAAAAAAACAAUAAAUUAAAUUCCAAAAUAAAAAAUAAACAAUAUUUGGGUAGAAAGGUUUUUUUAAUCGCAUAUUUAACUUUAAAACACUAGCGUUUUCCGUUAUUUUUGCGGAAAAAGAAUAUUUUUAAGUUAAAAGUGGUUUUUCACCUGCAUAUAAAAUCCUUGACCCCGAAAUUUAAAAAAUAAAAAAAAGUGCUUCUGUUUUAACUCAGCCAAUGAAUCUAAAGAGAAGAAAGUAAAGAUGUAUGUUUCAAUUUUCAAAGGAAAUUGGCAAAGGCUUUCUUAGUAGAAAUGGAUAUUUA